AUGGCCCCCAACCUCAGCAAGGCGACGGACGACCUGCUCGGCGACGUGGCCGUCGACGGCCUCAAGCAGUCGCCGCGCUUCACGCUCAAGGGCAAGGACCUCGCCGUCGACGGCCACCCGGCCCUCCUCGCCGUCCCCGCCAACAUCCGCCUCACCCCGGCCUCCGUCCUCGUGUCCGCUGCCGAGGUUGCUGGCGCCACCCACGGCAGCUUCCUCGGCUUCGACGCGCCGGCGCCGGACAGCCGCCACGUGGUGCCCAUCGGCAAGCUGCUCGACACGCGGUUCAUGAGCAUCUUCCGCUUCAAGGUGUGGUGGACGACCCACUGGGUGGGCACCGCCGGCCGGGACGUGGAGAACGAGACCCAGAUGAUGGUGCUCGACCGCGCCGCCGACCGUCCCUACGUGCUCCUCCUCCCCAUCGUCGACGGCGCCUUCCGCGCCAGCCUCCAGUCCGGCGAGGACGACCACGUGGCGCUCUGCCUCGAGAGCGGCUCCUCUGUCGUGAAGGGCUCCGUGUUCCGGAGCGCCGUGUACCUGCACGCCGGCGACGACCCGUUCGAGCUGAUGAGGGAGGCGGCCAGGGUGGUGCGCGCCCACCUCGGCACCUUCCUGCUGCUGGAGGAGAAGACGCCGCCGCCGAUCGUGGACAAGUUCGGGUGGUGCACCUGGGACGCCUUCUACCUCAAGGUGCACCCGGAGGGGGUGUGGGAGGGCGUGCGCGGGCUGGCGGAGGGCGGGUGCCCGCCGGGGCUCGUGCUCAUCGACGACGGCUGGCAGUCCAUCUGCCACGACGACGACGACCCCGCCGACGGCGCCGAGGGCAUGAACCGCACGGCCGCCGGCGAGCAGAUGCCGUGCCGGCUCAUCAAGUUCCAGGAGAACCACAAGUUCAGGGACUACAAGGGCGGCCUGGGCCUCGGCGGGUUCGUGCGCGAGAUGAAGGCCGCGUUCCCGACGGUGGACCAGGUGUACGUGUGGCACGCGCUCUGCGGGUACUGGGGCGGGCUCCGGCCCGGCACGCCGGGGCUGCCGCCGAACAAGGUCGUCGCGCCCAAGCUCUCGCCGGGGCUCAAGCGCACCAUGGAGGACCUCGCCGUCGACAAGAUCGUCAACAACGGCGUCGGGCUCGUCGACCCGGAGCACGCGCGCGACCUCUACGAGGGCCUCCACUCCCACCUCCAGGCCUCCGGCAUCGACGGCGUCAAGGUCGACGUCAUACAUCUGCUGGAGAUGGUGUGCGAGGAGUACGGCGGGCGGGUGGAGCUGGCCAAGGCCUACUUCCGCGGGCUCACCGACUCCGUGCGCCGGCACUUCGGCGGCAACGGCGUGAUCGCCAGCAUGGAGCACUGCAACGACUUCAUGCUGCUCGGCACGGAGGCCGUGGCGCUGGGCCGUGUCGGCGACGACUUCUGGUGCACCGACCCCUCCGGCGACCCCAACGGCACAUUCUGGCUGCAGGGCUGCCACAUGGUGCACUGCGCCUACAACUCCCUCUGGAUGGCCAGCUUCAUCCACCCGGACUGGGACAUGUUCCAGUCCACGCACCCCUGCGCCGCCUUCCACGCCGCCUCCCGCGCCGUCUCCGGCGGGCCAAUCUACGUCAGCGACUCCGUCGGCAGCCACGACUUCGCGCUGCUCCGUCGCCUCGCGCUGCCUGACGGCACCAUACUACGCUGCGACCACCACGCGCUCCCCACCCGCGACCUCCUCUUCCUCGACCCGCUCCACGACGGCAAGACCAUGCUCAAGAUCUGGAACCUCAACCGGUUCUCCGGCGUGCUCGGCGCCUUCAACUGCCAGGGCGGAGGGUGGAGCCCCGAGGCGCGCCGGAACAAGUGCUGGUCCCAGUGCUCCGUCCCCGUCACCGCGCGCGCCGGCCCGGCCGACGUCGAGUGGAAGCAGGGCACCGCCCACCCCGUCGCCGUCGACGGCGCCGCGCACUUCGCCGUCUACUUCGUCGAGGCCAGGAAGCUGGAGCUGCUGCUCCCGGAGGAGACCGUGGAGAUCACGCUCGAGCCGUUCAACUACGAGCUCCUCGUGGUGGCGCCCGUGCGCGUCGUCUCGCCGGAGAAGGACAUCCGGUUCGCGCCCAUCGGGCUCGCCAACAUGCUCAACACCGGCGGCGCGGUGCAGGCCUUCGAGUACAGCGAGGUCGACAACGGCGAGGUGACCGUGGAGGUGGCUGUCAAGGGCGCGGGGGAGAUGGCGGCCUACUCGUCGGCGAAGCCCAGGCUGUGCAAGGUUGAGGGCGAGGACGCCGAGUUCGCGUACAAGGACGGCGUGGUCACCGUGGCCGUGCCGUGGUCCGGCUCGUCGUCCAAGCCGUCUCGUGUCCACUAUGUCUAUUGA
rnacentral:rRNA from 1 species